GAUAAUGGAGAUCCAGGUGCAGAUUCUGUACUUUCCCAUAUGAGACUGUUUCACCUACUGAGGCUCAUUGCCCAUAGACUUUAUUGUAGGUGUUCGGACCACUUUAUAUCAGCCAGUCUGGUUUUAAGUUUUGUAGUUCAGAAGUUUAAAGGGACAGAGAGUAAUCUCUACUUUCAAAAAUAGUGGCAAUCAAUUUAGGUCUAGCAUAUGCUUGAGUUCAGUGUAAGUGGGUUUUCAUACUUUUACAACUAAAGCCUAUCUUUAUCAGAACUUUGUGUAUGUGUAUAUGGGAUAUGUACAUUUCUAAUUAUAUAUUAAGUAGAUAUUGAUUUUUUCCUGUCAUGAAUGAAUUUUAUAUAUGAUUUUUUCCAGAAAAUGGCGGGAGACUAUUAUUAAAAUGAUAGUAUAUUGUAGGCAUUAGGAUCGUCCCAGCUAGAGCUAGAGAGGUAGCUUACUGAGUAAGAGCGCGUGCUUGGUAAACGCGAGGAUUUGAACUGGAAUCUCGAGCAUCCAUGAAAAAGCCAGGCGUAGCUUCUUGUUCCUGUGACUCCUGGGCUAGGUAGAUGGGGGGAGGAGGGUACCUGACAUUCUCUGCCUGUCAUACAUACGUGUAUACAGAUAGACCACACAAACCCUCUCAGGGAGACAGAUACAUAGAGAAAAGCAAAUAGUCUCAGCUGUAUAGUGAAAGGAUUUCUCAUGUUUUUAUUGAUUACUCUCUUUAACUUGAUUUAAUCCUGGGCUUUAUCAACAAUGAUGGGUAGCAUCCUUUUUGAAAAAUUGCAUUUAUUUGUUUUGUGUGUGUAUGUAUGAGGGUGCACAUGCUAUAGUAGGAAUGUUUAUGGAAGUUAGAGGACAGUUUGUGAGAAUUAGCUACUUAUACCUGAAUUCCAGGGAUCACGCCCCAGGGUGUUGGCUUAGGAGCCAGUGCCUCUACUUUCCGAGUAUUUAUUACUGUUGAGAAGACUACAGAGGCUCAGAUACGUAAGUAAGUUGUCAGUGUGUUCCUGGUACUAUGUCAUAGAAAGAACCAGAACUUUAUACCUAGAAUUAGAAUUAUAACUUGGUUGUGAUUUACUUAAAAUUUAUUUUUUUCCACUUGUUCUCAAACUUGACUGUUUGAAAAUCCCCCAAGUAGCCUUCAAAGGCAGCAGGUGCCUUUUGCAGUGGAUCUUGAGAGAAUUGCAAAUAUUCCCUAAAGUUCCAUUAGUGAUUCUCAGGAUCCCUUGGGAAACAUGACAGCCCUGAUUCUGAAACUUCCCAGUACCCAGAGUUCACCCCUGGCGCAGCUCCUGGUUCCAUAUGCCUAAGCGUUUGCAUUUCAGCAGGGCUCAGGGUCCUGAGUUGCUGUGGGUUCCCUGCAUUCUCAGCAUAAGGAGCAGUAGUCUGCAGUGUAUCAUACUUGGCUUGGGACUGGAAAGUUUGGCAACAGUAUCUGUAAAGGCUGUAAUUCUUAUGAAGAACAUCAUUCACAUUUUUCUAAGAAGGAAUAAAAAUGCUUUAGUAUUCCUUUCUACACUUAAGCUUUUUUCUUCAUAUAAAGUCUGGGAAGUUAUGAGAUCUAUACCUAAACUACAAGUCAUUCAACUCUAGGACUUUCAUAUGUCUUGGUUUUGAAAAUAACAGACUCCAGGGAAACUUGUUUAGAUAGGAUUUUACCAAUUCUUUUAUAGAGUGGGGUGCUUUGUUAGGUUUUGAUAGGCUAAUGGAAAGUUUAUAUAGAACUCAGUGAGGUCUAUAGCAUCUUACGAUUAGUCCUUACCUGCCAAGAAGCAAGCGUAUUCAUUGUCAUCUUCAUUGCAGUGUUUGACCAUGUUAAAGGAGUUGUCAAUAGAUCUCUGUUCAGACUGUCCCCUGUGUGGAGGAGGAAGUGGAUUUUCACAGUUCAAUGUCUGCCUUUCCAGGUUCCUCAGCACCACCUUUGCCAUGUGUUCUGUCUCCCAGCAGGGUGGCAGCUAGUAAGCUGACCCAGCAAGCAGGUGAUCUGACUGUUCCUGCAGGUAUCCACUGUUUGUCCUCCCGCUGAAGCCAGCCUACCUCAGUUUCAUGAUUCUUGCUCUGUGUUUGUAGGCAUGUGCUCUUGUGGCUGCUGCUGCUGCUGCUGCUGCUGCUUUCUCUAGGAAUAAGAGAAAUAAAUCACUUUUCUAGCCAUUGCCUACUUUUUCAACACAAUUAGGUUGUGUCUCAAAUCUGAAACUUAAUUAUUUUAAAGGUUAAAAGCAUAAUAAAAUAUAAUUUGCUUUAAUCCAUUUUUUCUUUUCCUCUGGUUGGUAUAAAUCUACCUAUUUGAUUCUUUCUUCUCAGCUUUGCAGCUCUGCCCUCUUUACAAGCAGAAAGGGAGCUUUGACAGUUGUAGUAUUGAGAAUGGGACAAGUGAAAAGGUGGUGUAUUCCUGUCAGUCUCAGCAUACAGAUAGAUUGUAGAUUGCAACAAAAUGAGCUGGAUUUAGUAGUACAUGCCUGUAACGUCAGCACUGACAAGGCCGACUUGGGCCACGUAAGGAGAUACUCUUAAAAUCAAAACUUG
rnacentral:lncRNA from 1 species